AGGAAAUUGAACCUUUUUACACAUGGAAACAGUGAAGCAUGGGAAAGCAAAGGGACCUCCCUAGGAAAUGCAGCUGGUGAUAGCAGCAGCCAAAGCAGACCCCCACUUCUGAGAAAAUCCUUCAAGCCUGUGAAUACAACUAUUUUGGCUGGAUUAUCGUGGCAGUUUCUUCUGGCUUGGAAAUACCUGAUUGUGGAAAACUCUGAAUCACUCUAUUUUGG
rnacentral:lncRNA from 1 species